CCUGGAAAUGUGCCCGAACAAUUAAGGGAUACUUUGAUAGAGUACACCACAGGGGUUCAAAUCCCCUCAUUUCC
rnacentral:tRNA from 1 species